AUUGAACGCUGGCGGCAUGCCUAACACAUGCAAGUCGAACGGCAGCACAGUAAAGAUUUCGGUCUUUAUGGGUGGCGAGUGGCGGACGGGUGAGUAAUGCGUAGGAAUCUGUCCUGGAGAGUAGGAUAACCCGAGGAAACUCGGGCUAAUACUGCAUGAUAUCGAGAGAUCAAAGGCAGGGGACCCUUCGGGGCCUUGCGCUCUAGGAUGAGCCUACGUCGGAUUAGCUAGUUGGUGGGGUAAAGGCCUACCAAGGCGACGAUCCGUAGCUGGUCUGAGAGGAUGACCAGCCACACUGGGACUGAGACACGGCCCAGACUCCUACGGGAGGCAGCAGUGGGGAAUCUUGGACAAUGGGGGAAACCCUGAUCCAGCGAUGCCGCGUGCGUGAAGAAGGCCUUCGGGUUGUAAAGCACUUUAGUUGGGGAAGAAAAGUAAUGAGUGAAUAACUGAUUGCUCUGACGGUAUCCAAAGAAUAAGCACCGGCUAACUCUGUGCCAGCCGCCGCCGUAA
rnacentral:rRNA from 1 species